CCACACGGCUCGCCGCAACACUCGCGGGCUCGUGGACCGGGGACCCACCGCAGCACUGGGGUGAAGCUCUGCACGGCCCGUUCGCGGGCCUCGCGGAGCCGGGCGACUUCCCGCCCGAACCCGUCAGCUAACUCGGUAGGCGGCAGGUGGAAGAAAG
rnacentral:sRNA from 2 species